GAUCAUGGCUCAGGAUGAACGCUGGCGGCGUGCUUAACACAUGCAAGUCGAGCGAAGCGCUUUACUUAGAUUUCUUUCGGGAUGAAGAGUAUUGUGACUGAGCGGCGACGGGUGAAGGUAACGCGUGGGUAACCUGCCUCAUACAGGGGGAUAACAGUUAGAAAUGACUGCUAAUACCGCAUAAGACCACAGCACCGCAUGGUGCGGGGGUAAAAACUCCGGUGGUAUGAGAUGGACCCG
rnacentral:rRNA from 1 species